GGUUAAGCGACUAAGCGUACACGGUGGAUGCCCUGGCAGUCAGAGGCGAUGAAGGACGUGCUAAUCUGCGAAAAGCGUCGGUAAGGUGAUAUGAACCGUUAUAACCGGCGAUGUCCGAAUGGGGAAACCCAGUGCAAUUCGUUGCACUAUCGUUAACUGAAUACAUAGGUUAACGAGGCGAACCGGGGGAACUGAAACAUCUAAGUACCCCGAGGAAAAGAAAUCAACCGAGAUUCCCCCAGUAGCGGCGAGCGAACGGGGAGCAGCCCAGAGUCUGAAUCAGCUUGUGUGUUAGUGGAACGGUCUGGAAAGUCCGACGGUACAGGGUGAUAGUCCCGUACACCAAAAUGCACAGGUUGUGAACUCGAAGAGUAGGGCGGGACACGUGGUAUCCUGUCUGAAUAUGGGGGGACCAUCCUCCAAGGCUAAAUACUCCUGACUGACCGAUAGUGAACCAGUACCGUGAGGGAAAGGCGAAAAGAACCCCGGCGAGGGGAGUGAAAAAGAACCUGAAACCGUGUACGUACAAGCAGUGGGAGCACCUUCGGGUGUGACUGCGUACCUUUUGUAUAAUGGGUCAGCGACUUAUAUUCUGUAGCAAGGUUAACCGUAUAGGGGAGCCGCAGGGAAACCGAGUCUUAACUGGGCGUUAAGUUGCAGGGUAUAGACCCGAAACCCGGUGAUCUAGCCAUGGGCAGGUUGAAGGUUGGGUAACACUAACUGGAGGACCGAACCGACUAAUGUUGAAAAAUUAGCGGAUGACUUGUGGCUGGGGGUGAAAGGCCAAUCAAACCGGGAGAUAGCUGGUUCUCCCCGAAAGCUAUUUAGGUAGCGCCUCGUGAAUUCAUCUUCGGGGGUAGAGCACUGUUUCGGCUAGGGGGUCAUCCCGACUUACCAACCCGAUGCAAACUACGAAUACCGAAGAAUGUUAUCACGGGAGACACACGGCGGGUGCUAACGUCCGUCGUGAAGAGGGAAACAACCCAGACCGCCAGCUAAGGUCCCAAAGUCAUGGUUAAGUGGGAAACGAUGUGGGAAGGCACAGACAGCCAGGAUGUUGGCUUAGAAGCAGCCAUCAUUUAAAGAAAGCGUAAUAGCUCACUGGUCGAGUCGGCCUGCGCGGAAGAUGUAACGGGGCUAAACCAUGCACCGAAGCUGCGGCAGCGACACUAUGUGUUGUUGGGUAGGGGAGCGUUCUGUAAGCCUGCGAAGGUGACCUGUGAGGGUUGCUGGAGGUAUCAGAAGUGCGAAUGCUGACAUAAGUAACGAUAAAGCGGGUGAAAAGCCCGCUCGCCGGAAGACCAAGGGUUCCUGUCCAACGUUAAUCGGGGCAGGGUGAGUCGACCCCUAAGGCGAGGCCGAAAGGCGUAGUCGAUGGGAAACAGGUUAAUAUUCCUGUACUUGGUGUUACUGCGAAGGGGGGACGGAGAAGGCUAUGUUAGCCGGGCGACGGUUGUCCCGGUUUAAGCAUGUAGGCUGGUUGUCCAGGCAAAUCCGGAUAAUCAAGGCUGAGGUGUGAUGACGAGGCACUACGGUGCUGAAGUAACAAAUGCCCUGCUUCCAGGAAAAGCCUCUAAGCAUCAGGUAACAUCAAAUCGUACCCCAAACCGACACAGGUGGUCAGGUAGAGAAUACCAAGGCGCUUGAGAGAACUCGGGUGAAGGAACUAGGCAAAAUGGUGCCGUAACUUCGGGAGAAGGCACGCUGGUGUGUAGGUGAAGUCCCUGCGGAUGGAGCUGAGACCAGUCGAAGAUACCAGCUGGCUGCAACUGUUUAUUAAAAACACAGCACUGUGCAAACACGAAAGUGGACGUAUACGGUGUGACGCCUGCCCGGUGCCGGAAGGUUAAUUGAUGGGGUUAUCCGUAAGGAGAAGCUCUUGAUCGAAGCCCCGGUAAACGGCGGCCGUAACUAUAACGGUCCUAAGGUAGCGAAAUUCCUUGUCGGGUAAGUUCCGACCUGCACGAAUGGCGUAAUGAUGGCCAGGCUGUCUCCACCCGAGACUCAGUGAAAUUGAACUCGCUGUGAAGAUGCAGUGUACCCGCGGCAAGACGGAAAGACCCCGUGAACCUUUACUAUAGCUUGACACUGAACAUUGAGCCUUGAUGUGUAGGAUAGGUGGGAGGCUUUGAAGCGUGGACGCCAGUCUGCGUGGAGCCAACCUUGAAAUACCACCCUUUAAUGUUUGAUGUUCUAACGUUGGCCCCUGACCGGGGUUGCGGACAGUGUCUGGUGGGUAGUUUGACUGGGGCGGUCUCCUCCCAAAGCGUAACGGAGGAGCACGAAGGUUAGCUAAUCCUGGUCGGACAUCAGGAGGUUAGUGCAAUGGCAUAAGCUAGCUUGACUGCGAGCGUGACGGCGCGAGCAGGUGCGAAAGCAGGUCAUAGUGAUCCGGUGGUUCUGAAUGGAAGGGCCAUCGCUCAACGGAUAAAAGGUACUCCGGGGAUAACAGGCUGAUACCGCCCAAGAGUUCAUAUCGACGGCGGUGUUUGGCACCUCGAUGUCGGCUCAUCACAUCCUGGGGCUGAAGUAGGUCCCAAGGGUAUGGCUGUUCGCCAUUUAAAGUGGUACGCGAGCUGGGUUUAGAACGUCGUGAGACAGUUCGGUCCCUAUCUGCCGUGGGCGCUGGAGAAUUGAGGGGGGCUGCUCCUAGUACGAGAGGACCGGAGUGGACGCAUCACUGGUGUUCGGGUUGUCAUGCCAAUGGCACUGCCCGGUAGCUAAAUGCGGAAGAGAUAAGUGCUGAAAGCAUCUAAGCACGAAACUUGCCCCGAGAUGAGUUCUCCCUGAGACUUUAAGUCUCCUGAAGGAACGUU
rnacentral:rRNA from 1 species